rnacentral:rRNA from 1 species
AGUGGGGAAUUUUGGACAAUGGGCGAAAGCCUGAUCCAGCCAUGCCGCGUGCGGGAAGAAGGCCUUCGGGUUGUAAACCGCUUUAGUCCGGGAAAAAGGGGUGCGAGGAUAAUACCCUCGUGCUUUGAUGGUACUGGAAGAAUAAGCACCGGCUAACUACGUGCCAGCAGCCGCGGUAAUACGUAGGGUGCGAGCGUUAAUCGGAAUUACUGGGCGUAAAGCGUGCGCAGGCGGUCUUGUAAGACAGUCGUGAAAGCCCCGGGCUUAACCUGGGAACUGCGAUUGUGACUGCAAGGCUAGAGUGUGUCAGAGGGGGGGUGGAAUUCCACGUGUAGCAGUGAAAUGCGUAGAGAUGUGGAGGAACACCGAUGGCGAAGGCAGCCCCCUGGGAUAACACUGACGCUCAUGCACGAAAGCGUGGGGAGCAAACAGGAUUAGAUACCCUGGUAGUCCACGCCCUAAACGAUGUCAACUGGUUGUUGGAAGGGUAACCUUUUAGUAACGAAGCUAACGCGUGAAGUUGACCGCCUGGGGAGUACGGUCGCAAGAUUAAAACUCAAAGGAAUUGACGGGGACCCGCACAAGCGGUGGAUGAUGUGGUUUAAUUCGAUGCAACGCGAAAAACCUUACCUACACUUGACAUGCCAGAAAUCCUGCAGAGAUGUGGGAGUGCCGCAAGGAAUCUGGGCACAGGUGCUGCAUGGCUGUCGUCAGCUCGUGUCGUGAGAUGUUGGGUUAAGUCCCGCAACGAGCGCAACCCUUGUCACUAGUUGCUACAUUUAGUUGGGCACUCUAGUGAGACUGCCGGUGACAAACCGGAGGAAGGUGGGGAUGACGUCAAGUCCUCAUGGCCCUUAUGUGUAGGGCUACACACGUCAUACAAUGGUCGGUACAGAGGGUUGCCAACCCGCGAGGGGGAGCUAAUCUCACAAAGCCGAUCGUAGUCCGGAUCGCAGUCUGCAACUCGACUGCGUGAAGUCGGAAUCGCUAGUAAUCGUGGAUCAGCAUGUCACGGUGAAUACGUUCCCGGGUCUUGUACACACCGCCCGUCACACCAUGGGAGUGGAAUCCGCCAGAAGUAGUUAGCCUAACCGCAAGGAGGGCGAUUACCACGGUAGGUUUCAUGACUGGGGUG